rnacentral:rRNA from 1 species
UACGAAGGGGACUAGCGUUGUUCGGAUUUACUGGGCGUAAAGCGCGUGUAGGCGGCCCGGUAAGUCCGCUGUGAAAGUCCAGGGCUCAACCCUGGGAUGCCGGUGGAUACUGUCGGGCUCGAGUCCGGAAGAGGCGAGUGGAAUUCCUGGUGUAGCGGUGAAAUGCGCAGAUAUCAGGAGGAACACCAAUGGCGAAGGCAGCUCGCUGGGACGUGACUGACGCUGAGACGCGAAAGCGUGGGGAGCAAACAGG